UGAGCCUUUUGCCUUGUGAGGAGCCAGGGGUCAGUGACCUGUCCCUGUGGAGGUGGAGGAGCAGGAGAGAAUAAGGCAGGUGACCACAGCACCUCUCUUCACCAGAUGCACCAGGAGGGUGCUCAAGAUGGGCCCAGCCCCCCAGGUGGACUGUGAAGAAUUCAUCAGGGCCUGUGCCUCCAGCCUCCAGGGACUGCUCUGGGCCUUCCAGAGUCAUUACCCCAAGCAAGGCCUGCUGUGGCCAGAGAUGUCGGUGGGGUUUCUUCUCUGCUUCCCUGCUUCGCCAUGACCUCCGGCUGCGCGAGCAAGUCCAGCGGCAGGAGCAUGGCUUCCUUGGGCUUCUGGAUGUAUCUGCGCCACAGCGAUCAGCCAUUUUUCUCUGCGUUGAAACAUUCCCUCCUGCGGGGAGAAGAGCGGCUCAGAAGACUGGGAAGUCUCAGGAAAGUUCUGAGACUCAAUCCUCAGAGGCUGCUGUCAAAGCAGUAAGCCAGUGUUGAGGAAGAGGAGGCUUUUCCAUGGCCCUGCCUGCCAGCUGGACGGACAGGCCCAGUGACGCAGCUUUUGUAAGUUGUCACCCAUGCUGGGGUGGGCUUUUUGAUGAUACAACUGCCUAAAUCACCCAUGUUCCUGUAAACAACCCAUCACCUAUGCUCCUGGAAGUGACCCCAAUAAAC